CAUAUCAAUUAAGCGGAGGAAAAGAAACUAACAAGGAUUCCCCCAGUAACUGCGAGUGAAGAGGGAAUAGCUCAACGUGUGAAUCUGUCCGGGAGUAACCCCUGGUUCAGAGUUGUGCACUGUAGACGUCGGUUUCUGCGCUUGAAUUCCAGUUGUCAGUCCCAAGUCGGAUGAAACACCGCAUCACAGAAGGUCAUAGUCCUGUGUCUGACUGUGCUUGAAUUUGCGCCAAUGACCGCACGUUCGUCGAGUCGCGUAGUUUUGUAAUGCUGCGCCAAUUGGGAGGUGGAACCCUUCUAAAGCUAAAUAUGAUGACGUGACCGAUAGCAAACAAGUACCGCGAGGGAAAGGUGAAAAGCAACCAUGUAGAAUGCGUUGAAACAGCAGUGAAAGUGCUACUGGGAUAAGGGCUAUUGAGUGCUGGUCUCUUGGUAGCGUGCUUCAGUGCUGCUCCAGGAGCGGCCUGCAUCGAUUGGAGUUGGGAGACACGCUUGGGGUUGAAUUCGGCCAACGGCUUGCCGUUGGUGUUGUAGCUCCCCGAUGAGUUGAGCCCAGAACCGAUCGAAUGUGCCUCACGGCGUGCAGGUCCUGCGAUCAUUAGCCGCCCGUCUUGAAACACGGACCAAGGAGUGCACCUUACAUGCGAGUCAAAGGGACUGUAAUCCCCGAGGCGUAGCGAAAGCAAAGACCGUGAAUGUCCUUGUGGCAGGCGACGGCGCCCACCGAGAGGUGAGGUAGAGCAUGCAGGGUGCGACCCGAAAGAUGGUGAACUAUGCCCGGGCAAGGUGAAGCCAGUGGAAACGCUGGUGGAGGCCUGUAACGAUUCUGACGUGCAAAUCGAUCGUGCGACCUGGGU
rnacentral:rRNA from 1 species